AGCAUAAGGCAGCUUACUUCGAGGUUAGCAUCACAUGCUUUCUUGUAAGCAUUCUUAGCAGCAGCGGGUGCAUCAUCAGCAGGUUCUUCUGGUAGUGGGUUGUCUAGAACAUCUUCCUUUUUCUCAGCCCUGAGAACAAUUCUCAGGUUACGGAUCCAAUCCGAGUAAUUUGUUCCAUUCAACUUGUCCUUCUCAAGGACCGAACGCAAAGCAAACAGUGUAGUGCUGCUAGGUGCCAUUUAAUCUACAACAAAGUAAUGCAAAAUACACUAAGACAAACGUAUCCAUGAUAGAGCAAAUCACAUUAAACUAUUUUAACAGAAUCUACUCCCACUAAAAUCAAUAU
rnacentral:lncRNA from 1 species